rnacentral:rRNA from 1 species
CCAAUAGCAUAUAUUAAAGUUGCUGCGGUUAAAAAGCUCGUAGUUGAAUUUCGGGAUUGAUGCAUCGGUCGUGCCUUAAGGGGUAUGAACUGGUGUAGCCAAUUUCUCACCUUCUGGUGAAUUGUGACGUCCUUAAUUGGGUGUUUCAAUGAACUAGGACUUUUACUUUGAAAAAAUUAGAGUGUUUAAAGCAGGCAUUUUUGCUUGAAU